UACGGAGGGGGCUAGCGUUGUCCGAAGUUACUGGGCGUAAAGCGCGCGUAGGCGGGUUGGUAAGUCCGCUGUGAAAGCCCGGAGCUUAACUCCGGAGGGUCGGUGGAUACUGCCAGUCUUGAAGGUGCUAGGGGGAGAUGGAAUUACCGGUGUAGCGGUGAAAUGCGUAGAUAUCGGUAGGAACACCAGUGGCGAAGGCGGUCUCCUGGGGCAUUCUUGACGCUGAGGUGCGAAAGCGUGGGGAGCAAACAGG
rnacentral:rRNA from 1 species